UGAUAGCAAUGAAACGAGAGGUUACUGCCCAGGCAGAGAACUCCGCGGAGCGAAUGUCAAGUUAGAAACUGACGACAA
rnacentral:ncRNA from 1 species